rnacentral:rRNA from 1 species
AACGAACGCUGGCGGCAUGCCUAACACAUGCAAGUCGAACGGGAUCCGGACUUCGGCCCGGUGAGAGUGGCGGACGGGUGAGUAACACGUGGGAACCUGCCUUUUGGUUCGGGAUAACCGCGGGAAACUGCGGCUAAUACCGGAUGCUCCCGAGAGGGAAAAGAUUUAUCGCCAGAAGAGGGGCCCGCGUCCGAUUAGGUAGUUGGUGGGGUAAUGGCCUACCAAGCCGACGAUCGGUAGCUGGUCUGAGAGGAUGAUCAGCCACACUGGGACUGAGAUACGGCCCAGACUCCUACGGGAGGCAGCAGUGGGGAAUAUUGGACAAUGGGCGCAAGCCUGAUCCAGCAAUGCCGCGUGGAUGAAGAAGGUCUUCGGAUUGUAAAGUCCUUUCGGCGGGGACGAUGAUGACGGUACCCGCAGAAGAAGCCCCGGCUAACUUCGUGCCAGCAGCCGCGGUAAU